UACGUAGGUGGCAAGCGUUGUCCGGAUUCAUUGGGCGUAAAGGGUGCGUAGGCGGCGCGGUAAGUCGGGUGUGAAAUCUCGGAGCUUAACUCCGAAACUGCAUUCGAUACUGCCGUGCUUGAGGACUGGAGAGGAGACUGGAAUUUACGGUGUAGCGGUGAAAUGCGUAGAUAUCGUAAGGAAGACCAGUGGCGAAGGCGGGUCUCUGGACAGUUCCUGACGCUGAGGCACGAAGGUCAGGGGAGCAAACGGG
rnacentral:rRNA from 1 species